rnacentral:rRNA from 1 species
UUUGACCUCGGAUCAGUAGG